rnacentral:rRNA from 1 species
UACGUAGGGGGCAAGCGUUGUUCGGAAUCACUGGGCGUAAAGGGCGUGUAGGCGGUCCGCUAAGUCUGAUGUGAAAGCCCGGGGCUCACCCCCGGAAGUGCAUUGGAAACUGGCGGACUCGAGUCCCGGAGAGGAGAGUGGAAUUCCUGGUGUAGCGGUGAAAUGCGUAGAUAUCAGGAGGAACACCGGUGGCGAAGGCGGCUCUCUGGACGGUGACUGACGCUGAGACGCGAAAGCGUGGGGAGCAAACAGG